GACGGGGGGUCCAAGCGUUGUUCGGAAUCAUUGGGCGUAAAGCGUGUGCAGGUGGUUUGGUAAGUUGGAUGUGAAAGCCCCGGGCUUAACCCGGGAAGUGCAUUCAAAACUACCAAACUUGAAUAUGGAAGAGGGUCGUGGAAUUCCUGGUGUAGUGGUGAAAUGCGCAGAUAUCAGGAAGAACACCCGUGGCUAAGGCGGCUCUCUAGUACGGUACUGACGCUGAGACGCGAAAGCGUGGGGAGCGAACAGG
rnacentral:rRNA from 1 species